rnacentral:lncRNA from 1 species
UUUGGCUCUUGUGUGAGUGGAUGGUGACACCAGGCCAGCUGGGGAUUCUUCCCAGGCUGGGCUCACAGGCUGGGGCUGGGCACACGGAGCAGCUGCGGGAAAAGGAUCUGGACACCAGCCCCCCAGCGUGUCACCGGCAGGAAGGUGAGGUGGGAACAGAGUGACGUCCAUGCAUGUUCAGGGGGAUUCUGAAGGUUGUUGGUGGAUUCCUAGAAUGUAGCCCGCAGAACUGUGCCUGGAACGAUACCGGAUCACUGCAAAAGUACAGCGAACAGGGUCGCUUUGAAUAUUAAAGGAGGACUUUUUCAAAGUGUAUAGAGAGCAGUCAAAAGAUCGCCACAGUUGCUCUGUGUUUUCGUGAGCCAGCUUUCUCGGAAGGACUAAGCCAGUGGAUCACAAACAUCCUGGAGAGCAGUGACUCUGUGAUUCCAUCACAAGAAUAUGAAGGACUGAGAAGAUCUCCAGCUCUGCCCAUUGCACCUUCCCAUUGAGAAGCAGCAUGGCACCCUGGUGGCAGGGGCUGAUACUCAGCCGGGCCAGGGUGCUCUCCUGUUAACCAUAACCAAGCUCACAGGACAUGGGAUGAGCCCACUGUGUGACACAGGGAGCGGGACACAGUCUGUUAAGUCUUGCACAGCCAUGCUCUGCCACGCAGGCAGGCCUUUCCUUGGCCUCCCUCUCCCUGUUCGUGCUCAUGUGAACAUCCACCUACGUGGAUAGACUGGGCUUUGGUUCAUUAUUGCUCUGUGAAUUCCUCGAACUUCCGCAUCUGCCCAACCUCCCCCACCCCAUUGUUUUCAUUGUGUUUCACCAAAUGGAAAUUCUAGAGUAAGCAUGUGAGUCCUCUCCCAAACUUGUUCACUGUUGAGAGUGCUAAAAUGCUAACCCCAGAUGCUAACUGAGGGGUAGGGUUACCUUAUCUUUAGAGCACUGCGAAUUGUAUGUUAAGUGGAACUUAAUGAAAAAAUAGUUAAUUGACCAACAUGAAUAUCCCCUGAACAGAAUCUCCCCUGAACAGAAUCCUACAAUGAAACUAAGGGAGAUAAAUAAAGCUGUUUACCUGAAAGCUCUCUCUAAUCAAGAUCCUUUGAAAUUUAUAAAACAUGGUCAAUAUUUGCACUGGACUUUGUAAAAAUAAAGCUUGAUAAGAGAAGAGUUUGAAGUGAAA